rnacentral:rRNA from 1 species
UACAGAGGGGGCAAGCGUUAUUCGGAAUUAUUGGGCGUAAAGGGCGUGUAGGCGGAUAGAUAAGUCGGGCGUGAAAUCCCCAGGCUCAACCUGGGAACUGCACUCGAAACUGUUUAUCUUGAGUGCCGGAGAGGAAAGCGGAAUACCUGGUGUAGAGGUGAAAUUCGUAGAUAUCAGGUGGAACACCAGUGGCGAAGGCGGCUUUCUGGACGGUAACUGACGCUGAGACGCGAAAGCGUGGGGAGCAAACAGG